rnacentral:rRNA from 1 species
AGUGAACGCUGGCGGCAGGCCUAGCACAUGCAAGUCGAACGGCAGCACAGAGGAGCUUGCUCCUUGGGUGGCGAGUGGCGGACGGGUGAGGAAUACAUCGGAAUCUGCCUAUUUGUGGGGGAUAACGUAGGGAAACUUACGCUAAUACCGCAUACGACCUACGGGUGAAAGCCGGGGACCUUCGGGCCUGGCGCAGAUAGAUGAGCCGAUGUCGGAUUAGCUAGUUGGCGGGGUAAAGGCCCACCAAGGCGACGAUCCGUAGCUGGUCUGAGAGGAUGAUCAGCCACACUGGAACGGGGACACGGCCCAGACUCCGACGGGAGGCAGCAGUGGGGAAUAUUGGACAGGGGGCGCAAGCCUGAUCCAGCCAGGCCGCGUGGGGGAAGAAGGCCUUCGGGUUGUAAAGCCCUUUUGUUGGGAAAGAAAAGCAGCCGGUUAAUACCCGGUUGUUCUGACGGUACCCAAAGAAUAAGCACCGGCUAACUUCGUGCCAGCAGCCGCCGUAACAC